rnacentral:lncRNA from 15 species
GAUAAUUUGCCCCAAUAACUCACUGUUUGGAUCCAAACUGUGAUGACACUAUAGUUAGUUUACUAUAAUAUGAAUGUAUAAUUUCAUCACCAAAAAUACAAUGCAUAAUUCUUACAAUUACAUAUAUCAGAAUAUCAAAAGAUAAAAUCUUCUGUGUGACUGAAACAGGCCAUGGGUAAGAACAUCUUUUUUGUUGUUGUUGCCUUUUGCAUGAACUGCUGUGAAUUCAGAAGACGUUACACUUCAUGAGAAGGCAGUCAAAUGUUGGUUAUUACAUCAAGGCUGCUCCUCAGGGAUUCACACAGUUAAUGCUUUUUAUUGUUCUCAUAUUUCAGUUGUACUCCUAAAUGCAGUUGGGGUGUAACACAGUUUGUCUCACUUUGUAGGCUCUUUAAUAAAAGUGUGAUUACACUUGGUGUUACAUGGUGUCAGAAACCAAAGUGUGGAAACGAAUAGCACGCACAUCUAUCUAUCACAUUUCAGAAUAAGAUGUUGCACCCUUGAUAUGAAUUUAUCUUCACAGAAAUAGAAUACUUUCUCAUGCAAGUUGCUGUUUGUGGUUUCCUUUCGCAGUGACUGGAGGAGCUCAACCUCAUUAUGAACCCACUAGGUGAUGGAAGAGGUUUCGCUCACCCAUCUGAGUCUGGCAGCAAACGGACAGCAGUGUAGCCACCUUGGCCAGGUGCCUGCCUUCAUGUCCAUCUCUGGUGAGUCUGAACCUUUCAGGAAACCCGUCUGUUACCUCAGCAGGACUUCACAACAUCCUGAUCUCUCUCCGAGAGGCUUGUCGACCUUUGACCCUCCUAAACCUUCAAGGUAUGUGUGUGUCUAUAAGUUACAAAGUUAAGUGUGCAUUCACUGUUUCUCACCGAAACCCAUCUUGUGUUUCCUUAAUAAACAUGCAUUUGUUUACAUCCAUGUUUGCUUGCUGGCAGUUUUCUUCUUUGCCAUUGGUGGCAUAUUAUAUUAUAUUAUAUUAUAUAUUAUAUUAUAUUGGUCUUUGCAGAGAUAAGAUGUGGUACAUUGCCACUACAUAUUGAAGCUAGAUGGUAAAGAGGGGUGGUUGAAAAUUAGUAAUGUUAAUAUUGUGAAUUUAAUGAGGUUUCUACUGUCUUUCUAUACGAUGAUUUGUAACAUUGUUUAAAUAUUUGGAUUCCAGGACGGAGCUGUAAUUGACUAACGUUAUAAUGUUUUUGCGUUAUCUGAAUAUAUUUCUAAAGCAUCAAAGAGGAGGAGAAAAAAAAAAAAUAUUAGUAUAUUAUGUUUAUACUUGUGAGGCUGUGUGAAAUAUGAAUAUUUAUCUCCUGGGACAUUAUUUGUAGGCAGUAGUCAGUGUUUGUGAGGGAAGGAAUGCUAGCUCGUUCAGGUUUAUACAGCAACAAGAUGCAGUGUCGGUCAGGACACAGGAAUGAGGACAGGAUAUGUUUCCUUUGCCAGCAGAUUUGAUGACUGCGGUGAUUUAUUGCACACUCAGUGUUGUCACAGUUCUGGGAAUAAUAAUAAUAAUAAUAAAUCACAUUAUACCUUCAUCUCCAUAAUAACAAAUGUGCUUACAUAAACAGAAAAAUAUAUACAACUCUCCUGUACAUGUGCAACAACAAUAAUGACAUAAAUAACCCAACAGAAAUACAUAUUCACCAUAAUAUCAAUGAUCAGUAACAUGGCGCUGCAGUGCAUACGUAGCACAACAGGGGCUACAAGUUGUACCGAAGGGCAGGACCUGCCACUCAAAUACUCUUGGGGGCUCAUCCACUUUCAGGUCACGCCACAGGAACCUCAGUAGAGGGCGAUCUUCAGGAAGGAGGCGGACCUGAUGAAACAUCCCCUUGAUGUCUCCACUUACUGCAAUGGGGUGCUCCCGGGAACCUCAAUAAGACGCCCACCAAAGAAGCUCCAAGGGUGGGACCGGGUAGUAGGUACUGGUUCAGAGUUUGCCCGAGGUAUUGGUGAGAGCAGUUGAAGACGAGCCGAUUCUUCCCAUUGUGAGCGACUAGGUGAUGGGGAAUGUACCAAUACUCCUCAGGUGGUUUCUCUUCGGUGACCUCUUGCACCCCUCCUGCUCCAAUGAGCUUCUGCAUUUCUGCUCUGUAGAUCGCUGCUCGCUCAGGAUCUUUCAGGAGUCGCCGCUCCGUACUCCGCAGAAGAGCCAUGACUGACUCCUUAGGUGCUUGUAAUGGAGGCAUGGCUGCAUGACGUAGCAGUGGGGUAGCAUACCUCCCCACUCCAUCGACCUCGGUGCGGACUGUCUUGGUGUCCAGCAAUGCAACUGCUUGUUGGUCCUGUUUGGACCGAGUCACUUCUCUUUCAGGUCGGUGAGGUACAGUGUCCAUCUGCCAGAGCCUCUCAACAUGGUGAUACAGCUCAUCCAUCUGUGGUGGAAGGGAGGUAAAGAGACAUUGCACGGAGUCAGCUGGCCGCCCCAUAGAACGGACAGGAGCUUGCAAGGUCUAUCCCAACCGAGUGUGGACUGCUGCAGGGCCACCAGGCGGUCCAAGUCUGACUGGUUCCACAGGUGUUAUGAGAUGUGACUGAUCAGAGCCAAGAAGGAGCGAUGGCCUGGCAUCCUUCAAGGCAGGGAUGGGAAGGCCACGGAGGUGUUUAUACUUCUUCUAAAGUGGCUCUAUGGGGUAAGUAUGCUGAGCUAAGCUGAGGCGACUAGCUGUGAAGGCACCGUCAAUCUUAUAACUGACCUUUAGGGUUUGCAGUUGGAGAAACAUGAAAGGAUAUCUUAUGUCCAUGGAGGACCUGGAUAUCCUGCCGGACCAUCCGCAGAGGAAGAUCUUCUGGAGCCCCCUUUAUUCCCAGUGAUUUGUCUGCAGCUGGUAACAGCAUGGACCGCUCUGAACCAUCAUCCAGCAGAGCGAAGGUGCUGAGACUACGCCCUUCGUGAUGUAGAAGCACCGGGACGACCUUUAACAUGACCCGAGGGCUGACUCCAGGUCGGUCAAGGUAGAGGGAGUCAGAGGCAGAGCUAGUCAGACAGCUCUCUUCCUUCCUUGCAGCCUCCUUAUUGCUUCUCCCUGGCCUCAAGUUUAUCUCAUGAAGGGCUAGGAGGUGUUUCCCUUGGCAAAUGCUGCAGGGUUUCUUCAGCGUGCACUGAGCUGCUUGGUGGUUCCGCGCACAGCGCCAGCACCGCUUGUUCACUUGAAUCCACUCCCUGAGCUGCUCUUUAGAGAGUUUGGCGACCUCACUGCACUGACUGAGGUAAUGUUCGUCACUCUGACAGUAUGCACAGUAGGCUUUCCUGGGAGGUAUCUUCUUCACAGGAUUGGACGUAGAGACGUCCUCAGCCGGCUCUCCGAGACCGUGUAGGACCGUCACCAUGUGUUUCCCAGGACGAGUAUCAGGCCUAGGAGGCUGUCUUUCCCUGUUGGUUCUUGUACUGACUUGGCUGUCAAAGCUCAUGCACAAGGACUUGUAGCUGAGCCAUUCUGACAGAUCAUGCAGGGUGUGUGAGGUCCCAGGCUGCUUGAACUGAUGGCGACGGAAGUCAGCUCUCUAUUCCGCUGGAAGCUUGGUCAGGAGACGAGCUACAUGGGAGCCACAGUUGAGUUCAAUCGCUCCCUCUGGGCCUAAAGUCUUGAGUAAACCCACUAAGGUUUGAAUCUGAAGAGAGAACCUCUGAAAUGCUGCAGAGUCACCACGUCUGAUUUCAGGGGCUUCUAGGACACUAGCUAUCUUCUUUAAAGCUAGCUGAUGAGGCUGGCCAAAUCUGUCGUACAGAGCUCUCAUUGUGUCAGUGUAGGGGGUUGGUGAAUUGAGAUAAGCGUCAGCUAUUAGCUUAGCUUCCUCCAACUUCAAAUGAUCCACAAGGAUCUGGUACCUGAAGAGCUCGGCAGAGUCUGGGGGGAGUAGAUUCUCCAAGGCAAGGCGGAGUCUAGCGAACUCACUGGGGUCUGGCUGAAUGAGCUUGGGGAUUGUAGGUUUGGGGCCUCGAUACACUAGUUCUGACACAGGAGCCUGUACCGGGUGGUUAGUGGGGAGAGAGCUGGGCGUCGCCCUGGUGGCUGUUGGGGGAGGGACUGCUUGUGGCAGUAGUGGGGGUCUCAAGCUUGUAUAGGCAGGAGCAGGGUGAGAGAGUGACUGAGAGGGCUGCACCAGGGGAUGAGGCAGGUCCUGGUCAUAGGGGGUAGGAUGGGUGAGCUGAUGAUGUGGUGAGGCGAACGUAGGGGGCUUAUAGGUUGACUGGGCUUGAUCUGGGGAACUGUGAGGAGGGUGAUUCUGGUGUCUGUCUUGUUGCCCCAGGCUCAGACCACUCACACCCGUUGGCAGGUUAUCCUCAGGUUCCGGCCAGGGUGGAGGAGCAGGCCAGUCCUCCUCAGCUUCUUCCUUAGGCUGUAGUGGAAUGGGAUUGGGCUGGGAUGUUGCAGCACUGGCUCCCAGAGGUCUGUAGCUGCUGUGACUUGAAGCUGAGCCAGUAGGCCGUUCCAUAUCCUCCCUCAAUGAGCGGGCUACAUCAAUUAGCUCCUUCAUUUCCUUCCGUGCGUCAUGGAGUUCCUUUAAGGUAGAC